UGCAUCGGCCGUUCGGGCCGCCCGCGUGGCAGGCAAGCAUUCUACCACUGAACCACCGAUGC
rnacentral:tRNA from 1 species